GGUGCGGUGACAGCAGGAGCGCGGCGCGGGGCCGAGUGGCAAGGGGAGUUUCCCGUGCUCGCCAAGUGGAGCCCAGCUCGGAGCUGCGCCAGCGCCUUCCGCCUGGGCCCGCGGUGCCAGACACCUGCCGAGUCCGAAGCGGGAGUCCGGCCGAGCGUUCCGCCCCCAAGGCCUCAUCUGUGGCACAUGGAAGUUCUGGAGCUGCAGCUGCAGGCCUGCGUCACAGCCAUAGGAACAGUGGAUCCAAGCUGUGUCUGUGACCUACACCAUAACUUGCGGCUGUAUCUGAUCCUUAAGCCACUGAGUAAGGCCAGGGAUCAAAGCAUAUCCUUACAGAGACAACAUCAGGUCCUUAGCACUCUGAGCCACAAUGGGAACUGCUAAACUGAUAUGAUCUUUACUUCACUCUGCCCUAUAUUCCAUUCCGUUGUUUCACCAGUAUCUAAUCUAUAACUCUUUAAGUAGUUUUCUCUCUACACCUUCCACCAUCACACAGUUGAAAUAAUUUUAGAAAAAUAUUUUUACCAUUAUCACUUUUGGAUAAUAUCUAAACACUGUGAUGGGCUCCUUUCUGUGUUUGACUGUAUCUGUCCAAGCUAAAUCUGUCUUCAGCUCUAUACUCUGUCUUCUCAAGUCAAAACAAAGUAUGCUAUAGUAAGCAAAAUUUUGACCUUCAGUCAAGUUACCAUCCUCUCCCUGUUGAUAUCUUUGUAAAAGAAAUCUUGCGUGAAUGUGUAUAUCCACAGAAUUUCUACUCUUUAUUUCUCAGGAAGUCUCUUUACUGGAGGUAGGAAGAACACAUUAAAAUGGAUAAGUAAUUCAUGUUAUUUUUAGGAAACAGAAAACCAAAUAAAUGUUUAAUAGGAAGGUACACUGUUUCACGCCUUGGAACACUGAAUAUUGAGCAUUGAUUGAAAGGCCACUGUUGACAUUGAUUGAAAGGCUACUGUGUUCAGGGAACUAUGAAAAUAAAGGAGUGUACAAAAGAUGUGAUACCUUCAUUUUGAGAGGUUUACAGUGGGAUGCAGGAAAAAAACAUAAAAGUGAACAGCAGCAUAUUUGGUUGAUACCUAUUGGCUAUAUAAAAUUGCUUUUGGAUAUGUUUCAUGAUUCCUCAUAAAACAAAGACUUAAUAAGUUUACUUGGCAGCUGAUGGGCAAAGUUAAAAAAAAAAUCAAAUAAGCUUUUUGUUUUCUUUUAAGCAGUUCCUGGCAAUGCUUUCUUUUUUAUUUUAAGCAGAUGAGUUUUUAAAACAAUGAUUGCAUUUAAGACUUUCAAGAAAGCUUGUAAACCACAGAUUAGAUGAGCUGGGUCCUGAGAUCUGAACUGCGAGCUAGCUUGAUGCACACAAUGCAGGGCUCAAAGGUCUGAAAUUUCCAUGCACACAGACAACACAAUAAGGGUCCACAGCAGCCAUGCACCCUCUGAGUCCUGAGCCACAGACUACUUUGUAGCUCCUUGAGAUUGGCCUGUUAAGCUAAGGGCCUGGGUCCUGUGUACAGGGUGAGCAAUGAAGGGUGACCAGACUUAGCUGGAGGAAAUAUUUAUCAUUAGUUGUGAAGCUUUUUCAUUGAAGCCCCAUUUCCUGAGUGCAUGGGUAUACCAAUUUAAAUAUUCGCUAUUCAUUUCAUGUUGCUUGGCCCAUCUUUGUUUCCUUAGCACCACGACUCGUUUGCCUGGCCUCAUAGUCUGUCUCCCAAGAGUGCUCUUGAUGAGAUAUUUUUUUUUUAUCAGGAAAUUGAUUUUCUUGCAUCUCUUUCGGAGGUUGCUGAAUCCAAUCUUGGAGGAGAAUAAUUCAAUUCUUGGAAAAAUGUCUAAUAUGGGAGCCUAGUGUUUGAUUUUUUCUUUCCCCCCUGGCCACAGCAUCAAAGCUGUGUGAGCAUGCCAGGAGCCAAGGCAGAAUAGGUGCUUGCUGGCCCACCAGCUCCAUCCUUACCUUACCAGCCAGCCUCCGCCAGCAGUGCUCUUCUCACAGUGGGCUCUGAGCACCCUCUUUCCGCCCUGGAAGCAUCUUGCUCUAAUGCAGUUUUUCACUCUUGCUAGUUCUAAAUCUUAGCUAAAUUUUCUGUCUUACCCCUUAUACAUCCUGGAAAUUCCUCACUGUGCAGUCUGCUCUCACAAUGGUACAUUUUUUCCCUUCGGGUCAGAAUGGCCUAAGUUCACGAUUCUUACCUAGCAAUGAAAAGUGGUUUCGUGGCCUAAGAUCUGGGUUAAUAAAAGUUGGACUUCUGGGUCCAAGACAGGCACAGUUGGUUGCGCUCUGUAUCUUUCCAAAAGAGAUGCACUAAGCAGUUUUAUGUGUGUAAGGGUCUUUGCCAUACCUUUGAGAGGGGUGCUUAGUUUAUUUAUAUCUUACCUUGAUGUUUUAUUAAUGACUGAUAGUUGUUUAGUCUACAGUGUCAAUUGGGAAUUGGAAAUCAGUCUGUGUCUGAGGCUAGUUUGCUUAAGUCAAAGUCAGAACUGAUCCAGUGCGGCACAUGGAUACAGUUAUUAUAAACAAUUAUGGUAAGAAUGCCCAAUUUUCUGUAAUUAAAAUGCCCAGUGAAUUCAAUUCAUUGGAUUUCGCCUUGUGACCAUUGUGCUGUUUCUUUCUAUGUAAAGAAGUGUAUUCAAUUAAGUCUUGCAUAAUGUGCACUUUGUCAGUCCAAAAAAAAUUUACUUUCCAGUUGCUUGUGGUGUCGUUGGUAUUUAUUCUGCAACGUCAGCAGCGCUUAUGGGCCAAAUGCAGAGUGAGGACUGCAGUUGAAGCAACGUUUUUUUGUUGUUGUUGUUCACAUUCCAACAUUCUUAAGAUCCGCCUGAAAGGAAAUGUUGGAACAGUGUUCUGAAAGUACUUUUGAGAGCCAUGUAUUCCUGGAGAGCUUAAGAACCUAAUAGUUCGGUGGCGGGGGGUGGUGGUGAAGCUAUGAGCAUUUCUCUCCCUCUCCUACUUUAAGUCUUGUCUCAAAACUGAAAAAGAAAAUUACAGAAAGAGUUGCUGUGUUGUUGCAGUGUCUAGCUUCUUCUUGAGGUAGGAAGGGAACAUCUCUCGUAAAUAAUGAGAUGGUUCUGUCUUGCACGGGGAAAAAACAAAACAAAACAACAACCAUCCAAUGUACUAUUUUGGCAAAAUGCCUCUGAGUCUCUUCCUGUGGAAUUUUUACUUCUGUACUUUGCAGAGACUUCAUUUUUUCCUUUCUUCUUACUGAAAGCUGAGGAAUAAGGUGGAAUGGGUGUACUGCUAAAAAUUUUAUUCUUUUCUUCUCAGCUAUGGCCAACCAGUUGACAAACACAGAGAUGGGAAGCAGAAAUCUCAGUAUUUGAGGAUAUUUACGUGUCUUAGUCUCUGCCCAGAGUGGAACAAAAUCUGAAACACUAAAUUCUCUUGUGCAACAUUUCCUUUGUCUCUGCUGCCUUCCUUUUGAAAGGAAUCAUUAAGACACUUUUAGCUUUAGCCUAGCCCUGGGCUGUUACUAGAGCUUGGGGAGCCAAGAGGAGCAGAAAGACAGCAGGGCUGGAAGGAGGGGACAUGGGGCCUGGGCUUGGGCUGGCAGUCACUCAGGCUUUGCCGGAAAGGCCUGUAUGCUCUGCAGCAGAUGUGCCCCCUAUAGAAGGAAAACAAAUAAGUGUAAUCUUUUAUAAGUAUGUUCUUAAAAAUUCUUUGUUACAUUUUUGCAUGUAUGAAAGUACCAAGUUGAGAACAUGUUUGAGAAAUCAUAGGUUAGAUAAAUAUAAAUUAUUUACCUUGUUUUUCUAAUUUCAGGAGGAGCCAGGAUUCCACAGUUUGAAGAAGACUUGCUCUUUCCUUUCCUGUGCUUCUCCUCUCUCUGAAUUGGCAGCUGAGUUGGCAAAAACAGUUUGGUCUUUUGCAAGGCCUAAUUUCACUAUGGAUCUACAGACCCAAACCCCCAAGAGAAUUAUUGGUAGAUCUUUGGGAGAGUAAGAAAGACCUACAAAUUGAAAGAACACACGUUGCACAGAUGAGAAGAGCUGCUAUAGCAGAGAGAUGGAGAUCUUUAAACACUGACUUAGCGAUUGUAUUCAAAAGCAGCUACUGGAGUUCCUGUCAUGGCUCAGUGGUUAACGAAUCUGAUUGGGAACCAUGAAGUUGCGGGUUCGAGUCCUGGCCUCACUCAGUGGGUUAAGGAUCUGGUGUUGCCGUGACCUGUGGUGUAGGUCGCAGACACGGCUUGGAUCCUGUGUUGCUGGGGCUCUGGCGUAGGCUGGCAGCUAUAGUUCCGAGUACACCCCUAGCCUGGGAACCUCCAUAUGCUGCAGCUACAGCCCUAGAAAAAAAAAAAAAAAAAAAAAAA
rnacentral:lncRNA from 1 species